CUCAGCCCUGUGGCGGAAGUGAGGCCCUGCAGCUGAGGUGGGAGACUUGGGGGGGAUGCUGAGCAAGCCUGAGGUAGCUCAGAGGGGUCCCUAGGCAGCCUACCCCACAUCAGGGACACCUGCCUCACAGAGCAAAGUUCCUUUGGAACUAGGGGAGCAGGAGAGGGAGGGCAGGCCCACUGUGGAAAGGGGGCUAGAGAAGCUCGGGCCCCCAACCUGAGAGACUCAUGGUGGCUCAGAGGACAUGUGGCAAACCCACUCUGCUGACCCAGAAGGCUCUGCCCAGGGGCAGGGUGGAUGGGUAGGUGGGGCCAGGCACCCAUGCCUGCUGAGUCCCCAAGGCCAGCUGUUCUCCCCACUGAGGUCACUCCUACCUCCUGGGUUGUUGGAGGCAGGGCAUCCUGUAGGUCUCUGACCCUGCGGCGCCUUAUCUUGAUGGCCUGGCGCAAGAGGGGAGGGCGCCGCUGUGGGUGGGAGAGGCUUGUCGCCAUGAUGGCUGGUUCUGCCCUUCCCUCUGCCGCCCUGCUGCUGCUGAGUGAAGACGGUGAAGCCACAGGAUGAUGCAAAGAGCCCCAAGGCUGCCACCCUCUGCCUGGGAAGGGUGGAGGGAGCGCAGUGGGGGGGACAGAAGGGUCAGGGUGUCACUGCCUUGGAGAGGCUGUCUCCCAGGUCUCCUGCACCUUCCUCCAGCCCAGAUCCUUGCAAGAGCCUGUCUAUCCUGGAGCAGAAAGUGGACGCUGUAGGCUGCCUGAAUACCUUGAGAUGCCACCUGGAGCAUGCGCUGACCAAACUCGAUGGCACCCCCUGCUGUGAAGGUCAACUUGUAUGAAGCGGAGCCUUCCCAGCCACCUAUGAAGGGGGCAAGACAGCAAAUGAACAGUGAAGGAAAAGAAAACAGAGAGAGCAAAACCCUUUCCUGUGCCUUGGAGAUUUUUGGCAGGAGGAAGACUGUCUGCCAUGCAGACAUUGUGUCAGGACCUGAGUCAGCCAGAGGGAAAUAUUUUCCAGAAUCUAACAAUACCUUGCAAGGUUUGAGAAACACCAUCCUUAUUUGCAUCAGUUUCCAACUGCUGGACUUGAUAAAAGCCCAAGCCAUCUGUUCUUCUGUAGACACUGGUUUGGUCUAACUGAGCCUGCAUUUUCCUGAUUUGCAAAUCUAU